GUUACUAAUACCCGCAGUGUUCAUGAUUUUUUUUAUGUGUCAUGGCAUUUUGUUUUUCUUUCUUUAAUUAAAUAUUUAAAUGUUAUGAGAACUAAUUUUUGUUAGAAUUUUGUUUACGUUAUUCCAACACCAAGGCGUUUUGCAUGGCUGCCAGUUGCAAUUCGAGACGGUAAUAGUAUUCCGCAGAAGUAUCGAUCAAUAUCUUAUUCGACAAAAACGAAAAUCAUUUUAAUUUUUUCCUUUUUAAUGGCAAAAUUCAUACAAUUAGCCCAGAAUGGAGACAUCUAUUAAAAUGUUUUCAAGAUUUCUCUUCAGAGAGUUUUGAUUUGACUAGCUACACAACAAGAAAGGGAGAGACAAUUGCGAGUAAUUUUUAUGGGCUUCUGAUUGGUUGAAUCGAUUCAAAAUGGCCGCGCCCAACAGCCAAAUUCUAGAGAGUGUUGUGUAGACUACUGUAGAACGCCGGAAAACCAUACUUAGUGCCUGCCAAGCUUACGAGCCUGUAUUUUGAUCGAUUUAUUUUCGUCAUGCGUAAAACAAGUCCCGCGAUCUUCCUUGAGCCUGCCAACGAGAUUUAUUCCCAUCAAGGUCAUAUCGUGUGCUGUUCGAUAAAAUGGACCCAUUUGGAGUUUCAGCUUUUCAGCUGAUGAAAUCCAGGAAGCAGUUUCCUGCUUGUUGACGGGUACCUACAUUUUGAAUCGAGAUCUAUACGCGAUUUUGGACCUGUUAGCAUAGACAGAUUCCCAACAAACAGGUAUGCAAAAUCAAUACUUUUUAUACUGUUACGGCGCCACUCUUCCACGCAUCAGCCAGGGAAAUUGAAAGCAACAAGAAGACAACUCAGAUUUUAAUUCCAUUUUACCCACCUUAUUUCAAAACUUCUCCCUGAUACGCCAAUGUCAGUUCCUGUAGAUAUUUAGCCUUUAGCAACUAAAAUGUAAGACAAUUCAACUUGUGAAUGUCAGUUGUGUUUUUCCCAGUAAAUAUGUCUUACAAUUAUUGUCAAGGCCCUAUUGGAAGUUAUCAGAAAGGGAGAUUGGAAAGAUCGCAUAUUAGGCUAGUUGCCAUGGCAAAAUAUAUUUCUUUUCCGUUAAAGGUAGCCUAGUCUAUAUAUAUUUAUAACCUAUAGACGUAUUUGCCUUUCAAACAGCACGUUAUACAACGCGCAUUUAAAGGAUUUCUCAAGUUUGAACGUACGUAUAAAGAGAUGUAAUGUCUGCCAUUGAUAAUUUAAAUUCUUCCUUGAUAACCCACAGACAGCAGCAUAACACAAAAAAAGUCUGUUGCGUGAUAACCUUAAAUGGCUUUAUCGUUUUGAAUGGAACAAGCUGUCCUUUUAACUCUUGAUAUUGUCGUUGAUGCAGCUUUAUUUCCAAAACUCUUUGUGUAUAUGCCACUACAUUGCCUCAGUUUUAAGUUGGAAAUGUCCCCGGCGACCACAAACUGUAAAAGUUCAUCGUUUAAUACCCAAACAAUGCUCUAGAUAUACAUAUUUAAUCGACUUGGAUAAUGCAUAUACAGUCUAUAUAGCUAAAGGUUUUUCUUUCCACAGCAGCGAGUAAGAGUUUUGCUAUUUUGCACACGGUGCUGCAGAGCCUGUCAAUCAUUAACGUGUAUCAUUCAAGUUUAACUAUAGCUAUGUUUAUUUUUUUCCAACAGUAGUAGUCAUUUUACUUUUUCCUCGACGUAAUCUUUUCUUGACGUCAGUGUUUAUUGAUUGAAUUUUGCCCCCAGCAGUAUCACAGCAAGACCAGUAAGCACACAUUUUUUUAUCAUAGUAGACUAUAUAUUAGGUAGAGGUAUCGUAUUUCCAAAUUUGGUAACUUUAGAGCAAGCAGGCGAUGUUUAUAUUCACAGACUAAUUUUCAUUAAAUUUUAUUUGUAUUUAAUUUUUUAAUGAAGUGAGAAAAUAGGUCGUUAAUUUUAAUUUUCUAUUUUGCUGGUCGCUAGAAAAAGUUUAGUUUGAUAGGGAGUCCGACUUUGUUGGUAUCCCUCAAACCUACAUUGCAACAUUGUCAGGGCUAAACAGCAGCCAUAAUUUUUUUUUUUUUUUUUUUUGCACACUUGAUAAAGCUCAGUUUAUUUACAACAGUAUUGUCACGUAGUAUAUUAUUCUUAGACAAAGAAACAUAUUUGGUUUUUAAGGACGUAUAGUAAUCCUUACAAAAACUCAAUGUUGUUUUCCUUGGACUAGUUCAGACAGCGUUAACGUUUCCAAAACGUGUAUUUAAAAUUUAACGACUUUGUGUUGUUCCUCCCAUAAGCAGUGUAUUUUCCUUCCCUUUAGAAAAAAGACGGGCAUGUAUCACUGUGCUCUUAUUGGCUGGAUGCAAUAUCAAAAUGGCUGCCAGCACCAAGUCCACUGCUAUGUAAGCUUAGAGAAGAAAAAAAAUGCCGCCCUUACAUCUCGGCGCAUACACCCCCAGAGUAGUUACCGUAUGCUUCCCUUGUAGCUUUUUUGUGAUAAUCAAAUAGGGGGACUGGUAUUUUAACGUAUCACAUUGGGCACAAAUAUCAAGUAGCGCGUAAAAAGUUGAGAGUGCAAAUUUUUGUGUCCAUUACUCUAAUCAGUCGAUCAGAUAAAGGACCAUCGCAUUUUCUUUAUAAACGCGGGAAAAUCCGUCGAAGGAAAUAUCCGCAGAAAUCUGUCAACUCUGCGUGCCAACAUCAGUCAGCUGAUUUACAGAGAAAACUUGUGCUUGUUAGCUCUGUCAGUUUUCCAUCCAUAAUCAUCGAAGCCACGAACCACUUUAAUUGUAGCUGACGUACGAUUUGAUUAGAAACUGUUUACGAUGUAGAUUAUGCUUAUUUUUAGCCAUAAAAUUCGUUUAAAACUUGCUUACUAAAUGUAUCUUGUUUUAUUGUCUUUUGGCAAGUUUAGACAAACAAAAUGUUAAUGGUUUACGCAAAGACAUAUUUUACUCGGUAGGCUAUUCAUUACAAUAGACUUUCAAGAGAGAGAGAAAUUAUACAUCCACUUACUUUAUGUUUAACGCAUAUAGUACACUUUCAAUCGUAACCUUUCCCAAAAAACUGACCUGCCCUAAAUGAGGUAGGAUGCGUGACAGAAAACAACGACGGUUGGUCGAAAUCUAUAUACCGACCUUUGUCGCUUUCAGGCUCUAUUCACGAACAACUUGUUUUUGACAGCCAAGUACUGCCCCAUAAAAGCUCUCUUUGUAUUGGGAUAUUUUGCUUGUGUGGGCAGGCUCAUAAUAUGAAAACGAUACCUUUUUUCCCGCCGAGUAUUAGCAGCAAAAGUAAUGUUGGUGUGAAAGUUGAUUUCUCCGUAGUUCCGUGUUAGCCAUCGAAUACAAAGUGUCUUUUUACCCAGAAGCUUGGUAUGUAUGAUUCUCUUAUUUUAAUAACGAAAAUUACCAUGUAGAGAUUCUGUUUAUCCCAUUCAGCCAGACACUUGGAUGAAGAACAUGAACUAAAAGUCUAUACGCCAUGGAUUGGUCUUUGACGAUGAGAUGAACGUGUUCUAUAACACAGAUUUGUUUUUAUUGUUUUCAUAUCCAUGUUUCAAGUGUCGCAUUCCAUAACGAGCAGCAGCCUUUAUAUGGAUGGGAUUUAUGCGUUUGUUUUCCAGGUUUCACGUUUGUAUAAUAUGCAAGCUAUACUGCUUUACAUUCUAUAUAGUCUUGUUUCUAGACCCCUUAAGAGAAUUGCGUCUCCCUUUUUCUACUGGCAGCUAACUAAUACUUUUCAAAGUGGCUCACUUAUAGUCUACCAUUUUGUAUGGAGCUGCUGUCAUUUCCAAUCAUUCCAUCUCGCCUGUUUGCUAUGCUCCAUCCUACUCGAUCCCAAUUAAAACGCUUUCUUGAUGGUUUAAGCCCAUACCCCCAUAUUAAAAUUUUGAUCGGUAAAGCUUUCAUGUGAUAGAAAAACUCAACCUAGUUCGCUUAUCGAGAUAUAGGCCCCUUUGGGUUCGUUCAAAUAUUGCUGUCAUCAUCCUAAUCGCAAAUGGGCGACGUGACUGAUCACUAUACGCUUAGAUGAAAGUUAAUUCUGUAGCACUUUAAGUACAUCCUCUUCAAGAAAAAAAAUACUUUUACUUCUCAGUAAAAGGAAAAUAAAGAGCUUUGUGGGCUAAAACCUCUUCUUUAAACUCUGGAACUUGCAUAGUAAGUUGUCGUCUUUGUCGGUGUAUAUCUGUGCGUUAUUCUAACGAUCGUCCGUAUAGAAAAGACCGACUUAUGUUGCAAAGUGUCAAUAUAUACUAAAGUUCAGAAGAAACAAGAAAAACGACUUACAAAGUUUGGUGCACUACUAGGAAGAUUGUUUCCCUCGUAGGGAAAAAGUAUGGAGAAAAAUAUAAUAUUAGACUAAAAAGUUUAGGCUAUAGGCCUACAGUAAAAGCAAUUCAAUAACUUUCCAUUUGUAUGAUGGCGUUGUAUACACGCGAAAUGGGUAAACUUCAGUGAUUUGUAGUUUUACGCAGUAGAAAAUCGUAAAAUGACAACUAUAAUCAUUUCACCUUCAUAUGGUUGUGUGGGUAUAAGAAAGCAAAAAAAAAGAUAAUAAACUGUAUCUAUUGGGUGCUGCUUAUAUCGAUUGGCCAAUCUUUCCACCCAUUUAUGGAUAUAUGUGGACCUUUGUAUAACGACAUAUAGCUAGCCUACGUUUUUCUAUUUGCAGAAUGCAGUGCUGAUUCAAGACGUCACAUCGUCGUUGUUUGUUCAUUCCCAGCUUUCCAGAAAGUUAAAAAUUUCAUAAAAACUUGGCUGCAUGUACUUCUUGAAAGACUUCUGUAUUGUGGCUUCUUAGAAUAAACUUUUUAAUUUUAUAGGAAAUAGUUGUUCAUGUGUGGUUUACUAUGCCGUUUUAAUUUGACUUUUCAGCUGUAUCAAUUUCCCUACCCACAAUUCUCAAAAUCUGCUGUUCAGUGUGUAAGUACACCAAAAAAAUUUACUGCAAAUAAGAUUAAUAUUGUUAUAAGAUAUGUGUGCACAAUAACGGCAUUUAUUAUAAACCGUCUAUAGGAUUUCUUUCGUAUGGAAAGUGCAAGUUGUUAUAGCAACGUGACCGGCUGAACUGUCAACAGCUGCGUUCAUCCCUCGAGAGUCUUAUCAAUAGCUAACAGGUUGUGCUGCGUCCAUAAGAAAUCUAUAACUGUUGAGAUCUGUUUGACAUAUAGGUAGAAAAUCGGAGUGCUUAUUUUGGGUUUAUAAAAAGAUCAUACAAUUUUUUGGCUUCAUACUGGAGAAAGGCAUCAUAAUGCACCAGAACUCAGGACUAAAGAUAGUGUUUUCUGUAUAAUAAAGAUCGUAUACUGAAUGCUAGUUGAUAUAACUGUUGAGCUGAACUUUUCUGAUCGUUGACAUAUCGUUGACUGCACCAGCCUUUAUAAUUCUGUCUUUAGCAGAUAAAUCAGACGUUUUGCCUCAGUGCAGCAUUAAUACCCGAGUAACGGAAAACAAGACAUCGUAGUCUUGACGAUUUCUGUUGCUCGAAUGUGUGCUGGUGUAGUCUAGACAUUGACGUCUGCUAUAGACGCAAUAGUAUUACGUAGCUAUUUAUACUAGCCUAUACAUUUACAGUCAGAUGCUAAUUGUUCUUAAUACGAACAACAACAAAAUUAUAGUGAAGAUAAUCAUUCUGUGCUUUUGCACCUAUAGUCUACUGUUCCAGAAAGAGAUCACAAGCUUGUUCAUAUUGGCUUAGGUUAUGAACACAAACAUUGAUCUUCUCGCUUUUGGCAAGGCGAUGAUGCAAUACAAAUAGCACCCAGGAAUAUAUAGUCACGAGGUUCUAACCUUAUCUCUACUGUCUAUUCAGUCGUUAUCAAUCUCAUUGGGAUUGUAUCUCUAUGAUAGCUUUACGUUAGAUUUCUGGGCUGGGGAGGUGCAACACCAUAAAUCAUUCAGUGGUGCAUUCGUGGAGAGGCAAUGCACAGUCUUGCAAUCAUUAUAACAAAAUCCUCUGCCUAAAUUUAAAGCUCAAAAAUUGGUAUCUAGAGAGAAAAUAUUUGUUGGAAACAUCAAUUUAUCGUAUUCGUAUCGAAGAGGGAAGGAUGGCAGAAAUGCUAUGCCAAAGCUCCGCCAGGUCGGGCUACAGUAUAUCGAGACUUGUGUCUUUUUGGUAGGUUCAGAUUUCGUUUCGAUUACGUCCAUUGAUUUGAAAUGACUGCCUUUUACUGAGGAAAAGAAAAUUUUGAAAUGCAAUUCUCGAUCGAUAGUCUAAAACCCCUUUUCUACGUUAUGUGAAAAGAAAAGAAUUCUUCGUCCGUUGUGCUGUUAUAAGGUGUAAUGUAAACUAAUUCAACAUUUAAAUAUUGUGAACCUAUUUUCCAGCCAUUAUUUUAAUGACUGACACGAUAAUUAAUCAGGACGAAACAAGGAAAAGAAUAUAAUUAAAAAAAUCAACACUGCAAUCGAAUUUCUCCAUGAAAAUAUUCAACUAAAUCUUAGAAUUUCUAAAAGAUCCUAAUUAGGCUGACUCAGAUAUUUCUAAAAUUUCAACAAUCUUUUAAUGCAUAGUAAAGAAUUUCUAUAAUUAGAGAGUAGGCCCUGUACAUUGUCUUCGUUAAAUUUGAAAGAAAAAGAAAAAGGAAAAAAAAACAAAAAGAAAAAGAAAAAAAAAAUAUUUUUCUGUUUAUUCUGUCGUCUGCCGCGACAAUUUUUUUAUAAACGCCAUAGUCCUGUCUCCAUUGGCUGUAUUCCAUAUCAAGAUGGCUGCCUCCGAGGAACAAUAACAGGUUGUGUUUUGCGUGUGUUCCUUUCUUUUUUUGUGUUUUCAAGAAGUUACACAUAAAUGUCCGCUUUGUGCAGUUCCAGUGUUCAAAGAGGACAUCGGCUAGGAAGGACAACUACUUAUCGAAAAUUUAAAAAAUUUAAUUUCUUAGAAGUACGCUGCUUAAUCUGUUUCUGGAACUGCCAUUAAGUCUCAACUGUAUUUGGACGGUAUACAAAGUUGGAUGAAUACGCAAAACAAAAAUUUUCUUCACUUUUUUCGUCUAAUUGAAAUCAGAAGAGAAAGCCAAACUUUGUUGAAGUAAAUGUGGAAGUCGUCUGCUGCUGUUAGUUAACGACUUAUUGCGGAUCCCAAACAAUGCUCCAACGACAUCUAUACCCUGUCUAAUGAAAACUAAAAGGAUCAACACCACCAGAGAAACUCCAACCCUCCAAUAAUCAACGGCGCAGAAGUCCAAAACCAGCUGGCGUCACAGCUGGGUGCUUAUACCAAUUGAAAUUGAAUUAUUGCAGAGUUUUGCAUUUCUAGCAAGACUGGUCGUAAUGCAAAGUGGUUGUUGAAUAAGGUAUUGGCGUGAAAUAUAAAACAUUCUACAUUUAAACGACACGGAAGAAGUUUCUCCCGGGAAACUCAUUAGUUAAAUGAAGCAGAGCACUACUGAACGGAUUUUUGUGUAAUACGUUAACGGAGGCAAAAAUUAACCUCGAUUUUCGGAACAGCCCAGAAAGUGAAAUCAGACUUCAGCAAAGCUCACAUCAUGACAGAGUUUUUCAAAGUUAAAAGCAACAUAUGCAGAGUAAUGGGAAAACAUUGGGGUUAACUGAAGAACAUUACGAUCCAAUGACAGAAUUGCCACAGUGAGAUUAAUCGUGCGUCUGUUGACUUCUUUUCAACGAAAUACCAAUCACAAAAUCAGUGUUUUCUUUGUUGCUUUGUGGAUUGUCCGUGAAAAGCAGCUCACGUCAUCAACCGACUUGUUGCGUCGUUCAAAGAAUACGAGUAUGGGUGUUUUGUUGUAUGUGUUUUCUCGGCAAUACUUUCCAUAAGCACUUGCCAGCUAUUGAUUAUCCGAAUUCAAAUUGAUGUGUAAAAGCUGCAUAGGUAAAUUACGUAGGCUAUUAUUUCUGGAACGUAGGAAGAAGAUAGAGCUCUUUGAAAGACAUAAAAAUCCAAGUAAUUUUCAAGUUAAUUUUGAAAAGAAAAUGGAUAUAAUCACGGUAAGUUGGUACGACAAAUACUUGACUAUAACUCGCUCACUUUGUUACAAGUAAGUAUCCUCUCACAAGGCGAGAUGAGUCAGAUCAUCUGUGAUUGGUCGAAAGCCCAUUCAAAAUGGCCGCCCCAUUACGAAAGGAUGGGUAAGAAAUGGCGCGCGAGAUCGGCAGCUGCCAAAAACCUUUCCCACGUCGUCUCGUAUUGAGGAAGGUCGAGUGACUCAUCGUCAUCACGGUUUCAUUGUGUACAUUCAUUACAACUACACGGGUUCAUAAAGUAAGCCUAAAAUAUCGAAUUAGCUCCAAGAAAGUGUGAUCAAGUGACUCAAGUGAUGGUGAUCCACCUGACAGCCGGCUGAAGAAGCCGACAUACCAAUGCAAUGUAGUACCAAAAUACUCGUUCAGCAAAGCUACCCAAUGAAAAAUGUUUCCAGACUCGACAGAUGUUGAGACAUUGUCGCAGGAAUCUCGACGAACAGGAUCUUGCUUAUUUUUUGGGUAACUUAACUUAACGAAACGGGGGGAAAAGGAAAAAGUGGGGUAGAUUGUUUGGUGUUUCGUCACAUGUAGUACGUAUAUCUUUCCAUUCGUCAAGCCUUUCUUUUAACUGUGUUUUACAGGCGAUCAACCACUGGUUCCGUCUUAAGAAUAUUAUAGUUUGACGUUUCCUAAUUAAUUCUGAGGUUUGUUUUGCUUUUUGACGGGACAGGGUAGUGAACAGCGUUGGCCAUCUAGCGGUAAUUUUCUGAUAGUCCGUGCAAGCAAAAAUUAUCCUACCGGUUUUUGAGGAAAGGUAUCCUUCUCAUACUUCUUCAAACAUUCAAAUCAUAUAUGCAUGAUUAGCUAGCCCGGUCUAAUCGUUUUCGCAUUCCGUGCCGUUGUGUGAUCUUGCAUAACCACAAACGUAUUUUCCAAGUAGGAUGGCAAUUAACUGCUGAGUUUGCAAAACAUUCGUCCCUAAGAAGAAAAAGCCCCAUUUUACCCUUGUAAGUGCGACCUAGCGUGUCAGUGUAUCUCUCAAGAAGUUGUCAUGUGCGUCAAGUGGACAGGGUGAUGUUUCAUAGUUGUAAAGCAUGUCAAUAUUAUGUUAGUCUUCAAACAAUAAUCUCUUCUUUAUUUAGACAUGAUUUAUCCCCUCAGAAAACCAAACUAUUAGGCGUGCCCAACCAGUUGUCAAAUCCUGUUGCGGGGAAAACCUUAAGAAAGGCUUUUUAACCUAAAAAUAAGUAAGCAAUGGAAAAAAACAAAAACAAAAGGCAAACAACAGCUUAAAGAACAAAAGAGAAAAAGAAAUCGAAGCGUAGCGGAAGGAGAACAAAACAGAACUAGAAAACCAAAACCACGUAAACAAUUUAAUUUAUUAUACGUAUUCAUUUACGGGGAAGAGUUAGCUUUGAGUAAAUAACAAGAAUUUCUGCAGCAGAAUCAACAUUUAAAGGCGGAAUCCGUAAUUUAUUUUGAUGAAAAAUAGCAAAUUUACAGACGCACUCAUGGCUAAAUCAAAAAGUCAAUGUACAGCACAUUGAUUUACAUUUACUUUCGAACGUCAGACUGUUGCUGCUUCUUGGCCUGUUUCAUUUUCAUAGCCGUCCCUUUCAUUGAAGUGAUGACUUGCUUCUUGUUCUCCUCCUUGAGCCGUUUCUCUUCUUCUUCAUCCACCGGUUCGACCCCAUCCUUAUUUUUGUCGGUUUCGUCAACCAGAUCAUUUUGCUGUCGAAAAAAGUCUUCAUAUGUAAACUUGACGCAAUGGACCGAGUCGCACAACUCGAAACCGCAUUGUAAACAUGCUGGAAGCCGGAUCUCCGUCACUCCUGAACGGUUUGUUCUAAUUAUUCGACGUACGGAAAGGCCGCUGACAAACCCACUAAUCCUCCUAGUUCGAAUCCCUCCUUCUCGUCUUGUUUUCAAUCGCAAUUUCUCCAAUUCGACCAACCUUAAACAAAAUUGUCGUCUUGUUAAGAUUUCGCAAAACAGCAACUUAGCCAAUACUUAGUAAAGAACUCGUCGUCCUGUUUCGAGGCGGGCCGUGCAACCGUCAACAUUUUCCAGUUAAUGUCGACAGUGGCGAGAUCCAGGAUGCGAACGGAUUGCAUGGCCACUGGUAUAGGAUCCGGGUAAGAAUGUCCACAGUUAACGCUGAUUGGAUGGAUUCCGGCGACGAUACGACCAAUCUUUUGCGGUGAUUUGUCCCUCGCACCUCCAGUCCGAGCAUAUUGACGGUUUGAUACGAAAUUCAGGGAUGUGUGCCAAGAGUUUUUCAAACUCCUGUUUGGUGCGUGGCCGGGCCGUGGAUAAGUCGAGAGCCUGCAUGGCCUCGGCGCGCGGCGCCAACAGAUCUUCCAACCGAAAAAGAGACAUGGCUGCGCAGAUCUACUCAUGUCUUUUCCAAUCAACCAGCUACAAGCUGAUCUAACGCUGGACGAUGUCUCGUCUCAGCAGCCGUCCCUUCCUGUUUCGUCAAAAUCCACAACAACAAAGCCGCUGAGAUUACUGUGUUGUACAAGGCCACCUGACAGACAGGAAUAACAUGUUAUAUGGUUAUUCCGACUUACCAAAUACGAAUGUGAUGGCGAGUGACAUCACGGAACCAUAUAAAAGUCUUCCUGGCUGUCCACUAUCUUGUCACGGAAAACUAGGGUUUCUCAUGGAUCGCGCGAUUCACAGAUCUAUCCAAGUCUAUAUUGACAAAGGGGGAAAAACGAUGUUCUCUGAACAUGUAAAUAAGGUUUACAUGGAAUCAAACUCGCUUUUUAGUUUCUUACGGACGCAAGUGGAUGGCGGAUCUGUUGCUCGUGUACCGGUUUUCUAGCAAGGACCACUGCUCGAUCUCUGCUACGAUUAAGUGUCGUUGAACGACUGGAGCUUCUUAUAGCUAGCGACUAGGGAUUGUAUACAGGUCUUCUGGGUAAAGGAAACGCGUCUGCAUGCUAAUCAUAGACGCGAGUUGAGCAGUGUGUUGAAGCCGGAGUUGCGCUUCAGCUCUUGACCGCAGUGCCCACCCGUGUACAUACGUGUAGAGAAAACUUGCUCGUUCAGCUAAGCGCCGACUGGCAAACGGCUGCCCUCCAUCCGGAAAGGGUUAGAAGGAAAAAAAACGAAAAAAGUCUGCCUGCACACAAUGGAUGGAGGGAUGACUGCUUCGCGUGACUGAUAUAUCCUUUCUUGACUUUUUGGCUACUAUUUCUCUUUACGGUUUUCCCUUAUUCUUUCCAGAAUCCAUAUCUAGAGACAUUUGAUUCAGUGCUUCGGGGAUGGCGUACUUUUUAUAUUAUUUGUUUUCGAAGUCUCCACAUGUAGAAUUACUUUCAUUCUCGUUCCUGUACGAUUCGCAUGGGGAUAAAAGAUAUUCCGUGGCGUUUCACGUCAGUUCCCCAUCAAUUGUAUUCGUUUUCCGCUCUUGCAUCGACACAGAAAGGGAGGCACCGUUCACGAAAAGAACAACACGAAGAAAUCAUUCCAUUAUUACAGUUUUUUUCCCAGCGUCGUUUCCAACACCUCGUGCGUUGUUCGAGAGCUAUCACGUAGAUAUAUUUAUAGGGUAGAUAAUAGGCUACUUGUUCCCUUUUCCUUGAUAGCAUAAGUAGGAGUACGUGUACUCCCCCCCCCUUUUUUUGUCUCGAAGUUGAAUAGCUCCAGCUGUUCGUUUUGUAGCAUUAACUUUUUCUUUUAUAUUUUACACUAAACAUGAAUGUGACCCAACAGUUUUAUUUAUUUAUUUAUUUUUUAACGCUAUACACCAUUAUCUUUUCUAUACCUCGUAUGCGGUAUACGAGAGAGCGCUAUUCAGGUUAGCGUGGAACGACGAGGCCGGUGAAUAAAGCGGACGGGAGUCUUGUUUUACCGUCUUACUUCGUAGUGAGGCAAUUGACAAUAGGAUUAUAACUACAGCAACAUUCUGCUACUUUUUCGGUACUAAUAUUAUACGAUUAUUGUUCUCCAUGUAAAACAGAAAUUUCGGCAAAAAAGUUUGUUUUUAUAUGUCAAACAUUUACAUCAUGCUACAAAGUAGUUUUCACUUCUUUUUUGUAGUAAGUGAUGUACUGCAUGUACCACUAACUUUUAGUUUGGUUUUGUGCUUUGCUCUCUUAUCGCUGGGUUUCGACUUUGUUUCCUUUUAAACCCGUAACUUAAAAAUGGGCGUACAGGUCACAAGGCAUUCAAUCUAUUAACUGAGCCCGCAAAAAAUUCAUUAGAAAUAUGACUAGCAAAUUGAUCGUUUGGAAGCGUGCCUAGCCCAGUCAGGCGUAUAAUAAUAACUCUUGCACCACUGUGAACAGUUUAGAUUGCAUCUUAUUGUUACAUCAAUACUGGUAUAAAAGAACGGAAAAAGAGAAAAAGUCUAUAUAAGUAGUGUUGAAAGCCAACAAAGUUAGUUAAACCUGAAAGUGAUGAUUGAUUCUUGACUUCAGAACAGUGUGUGUGUGUGAACCCACGGGCAUUGUUACGCUUCUAACUGGGGGUGGAAAGGCUUUUCAAAGGUCUUUAAUCAAUGUUUGGGAAACGCAAACUGCAGCUUUAUACACACACACAUACACACACACUGGUUUAACUAACUUGAUACCUGGCUGAGGGGGGUCUAGUUGGAUUCCCUUAAUUUCCCUCUAUCAUUUCCUUCAAGCCCUACUGCCGGAAAGGCGUUCCUGUCAGGAACAGUUUUGAUGAAUGCCUCGCCACAAGAAAACAACAAGGAGAGAUUACCAUUUUCCUUGCAGAAUCACUGUAGCCAAAAUAGUGUGUUUAUGCUGAGCUAUUACCGUGCGACACGUUGUUAGGGGCCAUGUGGUUUCGGCUCUAUUGCUCUUUAGUUGGCAUGGUCGUUUUGCGUUUGGUUGGCAUUGAUGUGGUGAGUGAACCAUGAACGUUUCUUGUAAGAAGAUGAGCUAUUUUUUGAUUUUCUUUGUCACUGCAAGCGGUGCAACAAUGCUCGUAGACGCUUUGUGUAACUUGGCUCAGCACACUUCACUGGCGCAAUAACAACAACACGCAAGUCGAAGGAGAAGUCGCACGCAGCCAAGAAACGGGCACUUGAGUUCUCGAACGUUAUUUUUUUGUUGUUAUUGUUGUUGUUGUUCUUUUGCCAGUCUUAGUACAGCCUACUGACGUGCUUAAUCUACCCAGAGAACAAUUUUAAAAUAAUAUCAACCGGCGGAAAAGCUUUGCCUCACGACUGUUUGCUACCGCUAGAAAUAUGCUUACUGGUUCUGCAGCGGGUUAGUGGGGAGGGAGAAAAGCCGUCAGGGCAAUCCUUCACCAUGUAUAUUAUUGAUUAGACACAUGAGUCCAAAAGGCGGCCAAGAGUUACGCAGACGGGUGGGUACUAUCGUUGCCAUGCUGCGACCCAUGGCUAAGGACUCGCUUACCCUUUUCAUGUUUUAUUCUUUCCUUUUCUCAACAUAAAUGGCGAGUUGACAAAAGAGGAACAAAAAAGUAAAAGCCACACGACAGAGAGGUUAUACUUUGAAUGGGUUUUGCAAUGUCGAACUAGAAAAAUCAAAACGGAGCCACAGUUCGUGUACUUCGCCUCUCCGGUCUUCGUUGCGUGUACUAAAGCACUGAGGUCUGAUUUUUUCCCCGGAAAAUAUUGAAAAAAAAAAAAAAAGGAAAAAAAAGUCCUUUGUACAUAUGCUUCGAGGUUUCGUUUUAGUUUUUUUUUUUUUUUUUUUUUUAUAGAAGAAAGAAUAAUAGGCCGUGUAUACCUGAAGUCGCAGUAUGAAAUUACAAAUUAAACUUUUGUAUUAAACUGCUAGGAUAAGGCAUUGACUGCCCAAUUGAUUUUCUUUUUCCAAGCAAAAGCGUUUUGAACAAUGUGUAAUUUUUGGGGCUUACAAAUACAUUUCCACUUACAAAAUUGAAAAUUUGAAUUUGUAUUCGUAAGUAUCGGGAACAAAAUUGAUUUGGUAACUUAAACUUCUGUCUUCUGUCUGCAAACUAACAGGAUCUUUAAUGAAGUAAACUGCUUGUUUGGAGUGCAUGUCCCACUGAACGUUUUGGCCAAGCGUGACAGGAGCAGUCGGCCCACCACUAAUUACAGUUGCCUCGUCCAAUUGCCAAUCGAUCCACAGUGCUACGCCAUUAACAGUGCCAGUGACUGGUAAGUUGACCUUACCUUCCACUUCAGGAAUUUCUUUGGUCAUUAGGGAAAGUGUCGUCAAAUCUAGCAUCAUUAGUUGAAUAGCUGGACUUAGCGCGCGAGUGGGAUAUUCCCACAGAGGAUGAGGCUCAACUUGAGAAUCGCUGGUAUCUAUAGCACUCUGCAAUCGUGGUUAUCAAAAACUGACAGAUCAAUUCCUUGAGUGGAGCGUACCGGUGCCCUGAUUUUCCAUAAAUCUUUCAUCUCGACGGCCAUGGCGUAAAGGUACGCCUUGCCAGGUAAAAUUUUUGUCACGCCAUCUGCCAAUAAGUGUUGCACGUUGUUUUUCCAACGCGCGAAGUAAAGGUUGUGCCAUGGUAGCACAGAGCUCUCGAAAACUGGCUCUCCCAACACCAGAUUUACCUACACAUAGCAAUAAAAAGAAAAACGUAAACCAACGCAAA